GGAGUUAGCCGGUGCUUCUUCUGCGAGUAACGUCACAGAUGUAAGGUAUUAACUUACACCCUUUCCUCCUCGCUGAAAGUGCUUUACAACCCGAAGGCCUUCUUCACACACGCGGCAUGGCUGCAUCAGGGUUUCCCCCAUUGUGCAAUAUUCCCCACUGCUGCCUCCCGUAGGAGUCUGGGCCGUGUCUCAGUCCCAGUGUGGCUGAUCAUCCUCUCAGACCAGCUAGGGAUCGUCGCCUAGGUGAGCCUUUACCUCACCUACUAGCUAAUCCCACCUGGGCUUAUCCAUCAGCGCAAGGCCCGAAGGUCCCCUGCUUUCCCCCGUAGGGCGUAUGCGGUAUUAGCAGUCGUUUCCAACUGUUAUCCCCCACAAAUGGGCAAAUUCCCAGGCAUUACUCACCCGUCCGCCGCUCGUCAUCUUCAAAAGCAAGCUUUUGAAAUGUUACCGCUCGACUUGCAUGUGUAGCUCGCGCCACGCGUCAUACUGAGCAUGAUACAACUACUGA
rnacentral:rRNA from 1 species